rnacentral:rRNA from 1 species
UACGAAGGGGGCGAGCGUUGUUCGGAAUUACUGGGCGUAAAGGGCGCGUAGGCGGCGACCCAAGUCAGAUGUGAAAGUCCUGGGCUUAACCUGGGGACUGCAUUUGAUACUGGGUUGCUUGAAUUCGGGAGAGGAUAGCGGAAUUCCCAGUGUAGAGGUGAAAUUCGUAGAUAUUGGGAAGAACACCAGUGGCGAAGGCGGCUCACUGGCCCAUAACUGACGCUGAGGCACGAAAGCGUGGGGAGCAAACAGGG